CUCCUCUCAGAUGACUCCAGCUUGUGUCAAGUUGACUUAAAAACUAGCCAGCACAAGUGCCACAGCUCAUGACAGUUCAGUUUUUCAUUCAGGCCAUUUUCCCAAUACCCAUGGUGGUGAAUACAGCACUUUAAAAAAAAAAAAAAAAAAACCACUGGCUUAAGUCAUAGGAGUUCCUGGAUCUAUUUUUAUUCAAGACCUAAAGAGUUCUUUGUUUGUUUGUUUGCUUACUUAUUUUUGAGACAGGGUUUCCCUGUGUAGUCCUGGCUCAGAUUUGCUGGGAUUAAAGAUUUGAAAUCCUGGUGACUUAAUAAGAUUCCUGACUCUCCACAGCCAACCUCGAUCAUAACAUGAAAUAGAAUCUACCUGGAAAACAUUCUUGCAGCACAAAACUCCUUUUAUUAUAUGUUGAUUCUUUACAACCUCAAUUUUAAGAAUGCUUAUCAAUAACUACAAGAGAUAAAGGCCAGAAGAGGACCUCAGAUUCCUGGAACUGGAGCUACAGAUGGUUGUUAUGGGUGGUGUGUGCUGUACCAGUGGGUGCUGGGAAUCAAACCUGGGUCCUCUGGAUAAGCAGUCAGUGCUUUCAACUGCUGAGCCUUCUCCCCAGCCCCAAGUAUUCUAUUAUCUUUAAAGGUAUUGUUGAGAUAUAAUUAAUUUACAGCAAACAGCAUAUACUUAAAGCAUUUGAUCGAUGAAUCUGGUUUACCCGCAUCCUGAGAGUCCAUCAAGAUAAUCAAGAUGACACAUUCUGACCAUGUCCAAAACCUCCCCGUGUCCCUUCAUGAUUUAUGUCUCCCUAUAAACCUCAUGCUCUGACAACCAACAGCUUACUAUAAAUUAGUUUGUAAGUUUUAGGAUUUUAAGGAAAUUAAAUUCUGCCUGAAAC
rnacentral:lncRNA from 1 species